UCAAGCAUACAUUUAACGUAUUUCUAAAAAGAGCACUAGAGGUACGCUGGGAAAAAAUAUAUGUUUAAUUACACAUUUAAAAAAAAAGUAUGUUAAACACAAGCAUACUUUUACAGAGGUUUUAGUGUAUUUAGAAAAAAACAUAUUUUUUUUUAAACAUGUACAUUAAUUUUAAUAGGCUAACAUUGCAAUUUCAACAUCAUAUCAUUGAACUUGCAUUAUAUAUUGAUUUCACAAAGUUAGUCCACAUAAAUUUGUUAGUGUUUAUAUUCAAACAACACACGUGACGGACCUGACUAAACCUCAUUGGUUCUUGGGAUUCAGUACGUCACAUUGGCUUCCUGAUUCAGUUGUUCGAUACACAACGUGCGUGAUCGUUGGUAAAUGUGGAUUAAAAGUUGAAACUAAAACUGUUAAAUUAUAUAUAGUGAUCAUCAGAGGACUUGGGUGAAACAACGCGAUUCACAUGGAUUACUUCGGCGAUGUUUUUUAUUGCUGUUGCGAUUAACUUUUUGAAAUGUGAGCAGUUUUUAAGUAGGUUAUCAAGUGGAUCUGACAUCGUGGGGAAAUAUACGUUUCUUGGAUUUCAUUAAAGUACAUCGGUUUUUGUUUGAAGAUGAAUGAGAGAACAUGAGGGUAAGUUAAGUGAUGACAGAUUUUUGCUUUUUAUUUUUAGUGAACUAUUAAAUAAGUAGAACUUUUAGUAUUACAGUAUGUCUUAAUUUUAACCCAGCUUCUUAAAGUGUGUAUGUUGUGUGGCUUUUGGAACAUAACGUUACAUUUUUUUUUGUGAGUAAAGUUAGGCAUUUCAUUUCUCUUGUUGUAUUUUAGAAAUCAUAACAGCCUGUCUUUUUUUAGCACAGCGGCAUUCAAAUUGACCAAUCAGAGCCGAGAAUAUCUAAUAAGUCGAAGUAGAGAUGAACAGAUGAAGAUACAGCCCGUAAAAAUACUUAUUCUUGGUGGUAAGUUUUUAGUUCUACAGUAUUUGUAUAACAUUUAGAUAACUUUUACGUUUUUCUAAUGCUAAUGUUUAAAGAGUAACUAAACCCUAAACCAACUUUUUUAGUUAAUGAUCUGUAAGAAUGAUGCUUUAUUAGUGUAAGUUUUUUGACAUAUGGAUAUAAAGUGUUUCAAUACUACAAUAUAUGUUGUAAAAACGUCUGAGUGCUGCCCUCUUCAGGUUGAACGGUGGCUACUGGCAGGGCUCGAAAUUGCGAAUAUUUUGGUCGCAUAUGCGACCGAAAUUUAAUCUGUGCGAUCUUAAAAUAUAUUUGGGAGCAUUUCUGCGACUGCCCAUUUUGUUGUGGUGCGACUUGAUUUAGAUUGUGAUGCUGCGUGCUGCUGUCCCAGGUUCAGUGUUCUCUCCAACGUUACAUAACCAAUCAAAUUUCACCAUUAAGUUCUUACGUUUUAAUGAAGACCGCAGAUUGGCUAAUAUGAGCGUCAGUCAUUCCUUGUUGCCGUGCUACGUUGGUACGUGAAGCGCGAAAAUGAGAUGCACUGCGAGCAUGACGAGAACAAGCCGACUACAGCCAAUGUUACUACUGUAAUUAAUCAGACGAUCCGGAUUCAAAUGCGACUCCACCACCGGAAAAUAAGACUUGACGUUAAACCUUUCAGAGAGAGUGGCUUAAAGAUUUCGAGUGUCUCCGCUAUGAAAAUGGGUCGAUGUAACUUAAUGUGUUUACUGUAAAUCCUGUAAAACGGCGUUGGUGGCGGAAUCAAAACAUUUUAAGCGCCAGACCUUGCUUAAACAUGGCGAAAGUGCCAAAAACACAAAUAGUGUCAUGACAAAUGUGUUCAUUAUUGAUGGAGACACCGACUUGUCUAUCAAAGAGUGUUUGAUAGUGUAUGUGCGCAUGCGCUGGUGAAUGGACAUCCGACAAACAUCCUUGUGGUCCAUGUUGAUGUGGAACACGACAAUGUUGAUGAGUGCCAUGUAGCGACGGAUCAAACGGACACUCAUGUCAAGCUUGAUGAGGACACAGUCAAAGCUUUAAAAGACCUUGUGAUUAAGUCUUCAGUGUCUGAAUGGCAAGAAGAAGUGACCCUCCACUUAAACGUGACAUUUAAACUGCUCUGUGUUUUGGUUCAGCCAUUUGUAGGUUUAUCUCGAGUAAGUUCAAAUGCACUUCUGCAUUUGUCCAGUAACUUUUUGUUUAGAGAAUUACAUCAUUAUGAUUAUAUAAUUAUUCAAUGGUUGCAUAUUCAUAGUGUACUUUUCAUAUUGAUGUAUUAAUGUUCCACAAUUUGAUAAAAGUAGCUCAUUGCAUUUCAUUGAUCUUUGUUUUAUAUUGUAAAAUCAUUUCAAUGGCAGUGAGUACAUACUUAGUUGUUUCUUUGACAUUUAAUUAGUUGUUAAUGAUGGAAGAAACCGGUUCGUAUGUAUGAAUACAGAAUAGGUAUCAUUUUAGAAUGAGUUAAAACAUGUUUUGGUGGCAAACAUGCAGGUAAAAUAGUACAUGUAUAACAUUCUAAUAGUAAACUUGACUGAAAUUCAAAUGUCACAUACAGUACAUUAGAAAUGAUUUAUUUUAUGUAUACAAAUGU